rnacentral:rRNA from 1 species
GCCCUGGCAGUCAGAGGCGAUGAAGGACGUGCUAAUCUGCGAUAAGCGUCGGUAAGGUGAUAUGAACCGUUAUAACCGGCGAUUUCCGAAUGGGGAAACCCAGUGUGUUUCGACACACUAUCAUUAACUGAAUCCAUAGGUUAAUGAGGCGAACCGGGGGAACUGAAACAUCUAAGUACCCCGAGGAAAAGAAAUCAACCGAGAUUCCCCCAGUAGCGGCGAGCGAACGGGGAGCAGCCCAGAGCCUGAAUCAGUGUGUGUGUUAGUGGAAGCGUCUGGAAAGGCGCGCGAUACAGGGUGACAGCCCCGUACACAAAAAUGCACAUACUGUGAGCUCGAUGAGUAGGGCGGGACACGUGGUAUCCUGUCUGAAUAUGGGGGGACCAUCCUCCAAGGCUAAAUACUCCUGACUGACCGAUAGUGAACCAGUACCGUGAGGGAAAGGCGAAAAGAACCCCGGCGAGGGGAGUGAAAAAGAACCUGAAACCGUGUACGUACAAGCAGUGGGAGCACGCUUAGGCGUGUGACUGCGUACCUUUUGUAUAAUGGGUCAGCGACUUAUAUUCUGUAGCAAGGUUAACCGAAUAGGGGAGCCGAAGGGAAACCGAGUCUUAACUGGGCGUUAAGUUGCAGGGUAUAGACCCGAAACCCGGUGAUCUAGCCAUGGGCAGGUUGAAGGUUGGGUAACACUAACUGGAGGACCGAACCGACUAAUGUUGAAAAAUUAGCGGAUGACUUGUGGCUGGGGGUGAAAGGCCAAUCAAACCGGGAGAUAGCUGGUUCUCCCCGAAAGCUAUUUAGGUAGCGCCUCGUGAAUUCAUCUCCGGGGGUAGAGCACUGUUUCGGCAAGGGGGUCAUCCCGACUUACCAACCCGAUGCAAACUGCGAAUACCGGAGAAUGUUAUCACGGGAGACACACGGCGGGUGCUAACGUCCGUCGUGAAGAGGGAAACAACCCAGACCGCCAGCUAAGGUCCCAAAGUCAUGGUUAAGUGGGAAACGAUGUGGGAAGGCCCAGACAGCCAGGAUGUUGGCUUAGAAGCAGCCAUCAUUUAAAGAAAGCGUAAUAGCUCACUGGUCGAGUCGGCCUGCGCGGAAGAUGUAACGGGGCUAAACCAUGCACCGAAGCUGCGGCAGCGACGCUGAUGCGUUGUUGGGUAGGGGAGCGUUCUGUAAGCCUGCGAAGGUGUGCUGUGAGGCAUGCUGGAGGUAUCAGAAGUGCGAAUGCUGACAUAAGUAACGAUAAAGCGGGUGAAAAGCCCGCUCGCCGGAAGACCAAGGGUUCCUGUCCAACGUUAAUCGGGGCAGGGUGAGUCGACCCCUAAGGCGAGGCCGAAAGGCGUAGUCGAUGGGAAACAGGUUAAUAUUCCUGUACUUGGUGUUACUGCGAAGGGGGGACGGAGAAGGCUAUGUUGGCCGGGCGACGGUUGUCCCGGUUUAAGCGUGUAGGCUGGUUUUCCAGGCAAA